rnacentral:rRNA from 1 species
AUUGAACGCUGGCGGCAUGCCUUACACAUGCAAGUCGAACGGUAACGCGGGGCAACCUGGCGACGAGUGGCGAACGGGUGAGUAAUGUAUCGGAACGUGCCCAGUUGUGGGGGAUAACUGCUCGAAAGAGCAGCUAAUACCGCAUACGACCUGAGGGUGAAAGCGGGGGAUCGCAAGACCUCGCGCAAUUGGAGCGGCCGAUAUCAGAUUAGGUAGUUGGUGGGGUAAAGGCUCACCAAGCCAACGAUCUGUAGCUGGUCUGAGAGGACGACCAGCCACACUGGGACUGAGACACGGCCCAGACUCCUACGGGAGGCAGCAGUGGGGAAUUUUGGACAAUGGACGCAAGUCUGAUCCAGCCAUGCCGCGUGCGGGAAGAAGGCCUUCGGGUUGUAAACCGCUUUUGUCAGGGAAGAAACGCUCUGGGUUAAUACCUCGGGGUAAUGACGGUACCUGAAGAAUAAGCACCGGCUAACUACGUGCCAGCAGCCGCCGUAA